rnacentral:rRNA from 1 species
GAAUUGACGGGGGCCCGCACAAGCGGUGGAGCAUGUGGUUUAAUUCGAUGCAACGCGAAGAACCUUACCUGGUCUUGACAUCCACGGAAGUUUUCAGAGAUGAGAAUGUGCCUUCGGGAACCGUGAGACAGGUGCUGCAUGGCUGUCGUCAGCUCGUGUUGUGAAAUGUUGGGUUAAGUCCCGCAACGAGCGCAACCCUUAUCCUUUGUUGCCAGCGAUUAGGUCGGGAACUCAAAGGAGACUGCCAGUGAUAAACUGGAGGAAGGUGGGGAUGACGUCAAGUCAUCAUGGCCCUUACGACCAGGGCUACACACGUGCUACAAUGGCGCAUACAAAGAGAAGCGACCUCGCGAGAGCAAGCGGACCUCAUAAAGUGCGUCGUAGUCCGGAUUGGAGUCUGCAACUCGACUCCAUGAAGUCGGAAUCGCUAGUAAUCGUGGAUCAGAAUGCCACGGUGAAUACGUUCCCGGGCCUUGUACACACCGCCCGUCACACCAUGGGAGUGGGUUGCAAAAGAAGUAGGUAGCUUAACCUUCGGGAGGGCGCUUACCACUUUGUGAUUCAUGACUGGGGUGAAGUCGUAACAAGGUAACCGUAGGGGAACCUGCGGUUGGA